rnacentral:rRNA from 1 species
UGUCUGGGAAACUGCCCGAUGGAGGGGGAUAACUACUGGAAACGGUAGCUAAUACCGCAUAACGUCGCAAGACCAAAGUGGGGGACCUUCGGGCCUCACACCAUCGGAUGUGCCCAGAUGGGAUUAGCUAGUAGGUGGGGUAAUGGCUCACCUAGGCGACGAUCCCUAGCUGGUCUGAGAGGAUGACCAGCCACACUGGAACUGAGACACGGUCCAGACUCCUACGGGAGGCAGCAGUGGGGAAUAUUGCACAAUGGGCGCAAGCCUGAUGCAGCCAUGCCGCGUGUAUGAAGAAGGCCUUCGGGUUGUAAAGUACUUUCAGCGGGGAGGAAGGCGGUGAAGUUAAUAACUUCACCGAUUGACGUUACCCGCAGAAGAAGCACCGGCUAACUCCGUGCCAGCAGCCGCGGUAAUACGGAGGGUGCAAGCGUUAAUCGGAAUUACUGGGCGUAAAGCGCACGCAGGCGGUCUGUCAAGUCGGAUGUGAAAUCCCCGGGCUUAACCUGGGAACUGCAUUCGAAACUGGCAGGCUAGAGUCUUGUAGAGGGGGGUAGAAUUCCAGGUGUAGCGGUGAAAUGCGUAGAGAUCUGGAGGAAUACCGGUGGCGAAGGCGGCCCCCUGGACAAAGACUGACGCUCAGGUGCGAAAGCGUGGGGAGCAAACAGGAUUAG